AAUCAACGCUGGCGGCGUGCCUAACACAUGCAAGUCGAACGCGAAAGUCCCGCAAGGGAUGAGUAGAGUGGCAAACGGGUGAGUAACACGUGGGUGACCUGCCUUCGAGUGGGGGAUAACGUCCCGAAAGGGACGCUAAUACCGCAUGACAUCCUGCUUUUUAAGAGGCGGAGAUCAAAGCUGGGGAUCGCAAGACCUAGCGCUUGAAGAGGGGCCCGCGCCCGAUUAGCAGUUGGUGGGGUAACGGCCUACCAAGGCAACGAUCGGUAGCCGGCCUGAGAGGGCGGACGGCCACACUGGGACUGAGACACGGCCCAGACUCCUACGGGAGGCAGCAGUGGGGAAUUGUUCGCAAUGGGCGCAAGCCUGACGAAGCAACGCCGCGUAGAGGAUGAAGGCCCUCGCGGUCGUAAACUCUUGUCUAGUGGGACGAAACUCCUGUAGGUAAAUACUUAUGGGAUUGACUGUACCGCUGGAGGAAGCUCCGGCCAACUCCGUGCCAGCCGCCGCA
rnacentral:rRNA from 1 species